rnacentral:rRNA from 1 species
GACGACCGGCGCACGGGUGAGUAACACGUACUCCAACCUUCCCAUAACUCAGGGAUAGCCUUUCGAAAGAAAGAUUAAUACCUGAUAGUACUUUUUCAAGGCAUCUUGAGAAAGUUAAAGAUUUAUUGGUUAUGGAUGGGGAUGCGUUCCAUUAGAUAGUUGGUGAGGUAACGGCUCACCAAGUCUUCGAUGGAUAGGGGUUCUGAGAGGAAGGUCCCCACAUUGGUACUGAGACACGGACCAAACUCCUACGGGAGGCAGCAGUGAGGAAUAUUGGUCAAUGGGCGAGAGCCUGAACCAGCCAAGUAGCGUGAAGGAAUGAAGGUCCUAUGGAUUGUAAACUUCUUUUAUAGUAGAAUAAAGUGAUCCACGUGUGGAUUUUUGUAUGUAUACUAUGAAUAAGGAUCGGCUAACUCCGUGCCAGCCGCCGC